rnacentral:lncRNA from 1 species
AUGGCUUCACUAACACUCGCGUCUCUCUGCUGGGCUCUGUUGUUCCUCUUCGUCGUGGUUUUCGCAGCUGAAGCCCAGAACACCAUCACAGCUGAGCCUGGACAGGCUGUAGUUCUACCAUGUCGAGUUCCAUCAGACAAAAUCAUGCAAGGUAUGAAGUGGAACAGAGCUGACCUGGGAGAUAAUUAUGUGCUUUUUUUCCGGGAUGACCGGCUGGAUCCAGAUGGUCAGCAUCCAUCUUUUAAGAACCGGGUGGAUCUGCAGGACAGGAAUAUGAAUAAUGGAGACGUGUCUCUGGUUCUGAAGAAUGUGACGACUGCUGAUGAUGGAUCAUACAAUUGUAAUAUUUUCAACAAAGUGACAAAAUCAUGGGAGAGCAUCAACACUGUCAGCCUGACUGUUUCAGGUCAGACAGCAGAACUCACAGUUGCACCUGUUGGACUCAUCGCUGGUCUGAGUGUUCCUGCUGUGAUUCUUGUUGCUGCUGCUGUUGGUUUUGUGUGCUACAGAAAACAUAAAAAACAGAACCGGGAUUUUAACUAG